CUGGGCUGUGGAGACCAGACCCCGGCUCCACUGGUAGAAACCCUCCGGCUGCUGGGGCAGGGCGGCGAAAGGUCAGUCGGCCGAGCGGAGUCCGUGGAGCCACCGUUUCAUAGCCUCAGGGAAAGGACCGGGCGUGCUUACGAGCCCUCUAACCCAUGGCUUAAACACCCGCUUCCUAAGCCUGGUUCCUGAAUAUCACAUGUGGUGAUAAACACAAAGAUGUAUGAAAAAUUGUGUUCGUUGGGAGAAAAUGGAAGCCUUUUCAUUCUACUUCCACAUUUUCAUUCCAGCAGCUUUUCUCUUUUGGAAGGUGAGUGCUGAAUCUUGCAAUGAAAUUUUUUUAACUUAAACAAGACAAGGAAAAUGAAGUGCAGAGACGUUAAAUAACUCUCUCAAGGUCAUGCAGUUGAGAAGAGAUGGGACUUGAACUCCAGCGCCAGCCCUGUUAAUCACUAUUCUGUACUGUCUUUCAGAUGGAAUGAUAGGGUACACAUAAAUGUUCAUGUGGGCUCUGGAGUAUACCAGGAACUGAAGUAAGGUACAUGGACGUCUUGAAUAUUGUAACUGUGAGAUGGGCAAGCCUACACCUUUGCAAAUAAAGGAGGAUUGGGAAAGAUUAAGAUCCUAUUCAAAUGUCAGUGUUACUGUUUAGCCUUUGAUAUCUCCAUUAAAGGCAACUUCUUUCUGGACCCAGAAAUAAAGCUUUACAUUAGCAGCUUCCAUAACAGCAAUAACAUGAAUGACCAUCUACUGAGCAAUUGCAAUGCACCAGGAUUAUGGUUUAUGAGCACUUUAU
rnacentral:antisense_RNA from 1 species